rnacentral:lncRNA from 1 species
UCAUCACCACUACAACAUGUCAGGAAUUGUGGGAAAUAGUGAGACAAGAAACACCACACUCUCUUUGAGAGUCUUGGCAUUUAUGCCUCUCAUCCAUCUCUACAGUUAGAAGCUAAGGCCCCAUCGUCCCACCAACCCAGUUCAAGAAGGCACUUUCUGUGGAGAAGGAGGCUACUUAUUUGCAUUUGGAGCAUCAGCUGGAUGGAUGCAGCUGUAUACUUUAAUCUUGGGUGGAAGAAAUUAAGGAGGUGUGAAAUCAAGAAGGGAUCAUGACAGAAACCAACAGGUGGAACAAUGGCAGGAAGGCUCUUCUUCUCUGUCCCUGUUGCUGGGCAUAGAUUGUAGUGGAGGAUUUUGUAAGGGGCAAUGUUUUGAGAUCUCCACGAUGAGCUGGCCAAGAGGAAGCCAGAGUUGAGCUCAGAUAUCAGCACUGAACAUAUCAUCACACAACCUGCUAUGGAGGACUAU